rnacentral:rRNA from 1 species
UCAGGUUGAACSUAGCGGCAGGCUUAACACAUSCAGUCGAGGGUAACAUUGUAGCUUGCUACAGAUGACGACCGGCGAACGGUGCGUAACGCGUAUAGAAUCUGCCUUGUACAUGAGGAUAGCCUUUAGAAAUGAAGAUUAUACUCCAUAAUGCUAAUAUGUGGCAUCACAAAUUAGUUAAAGAUUUAUCGGUACAAGAUGACUAUGCGUCCUAUUAGCUAGAUGGUAAGGUAACGGCUUACCAUGGCAACGAUAGGUAGGGGGUCUGAGAGGAUUAUCCCCCACACUGGUACUGAGACACGGACCAGACUCCUACGGGAGGCAGCAGUGAGGAAUAUUGGUCAAUGGAGGCAACUCUGAACCAGCCAUGCCGCGUGCAGGAUGACUGCCCUAUGGGUUGUAAACUGCUUUUAUACAGGAAGAAACUUAUCUACGUGUAGAUAACUGACGGUACUGUAAGAAUAAGGACCGGCUAA